rnacentral:other from 1 species
AUGUCCCUGCGGUGCUCGACAGCGACACUGUGUGUCUUGAGCCGAUAAGCAAAUGCUUAGGAAACCAAAAUCUGGAAGUCGAAAAACAGGCCCGCUUUGACGGGAAGUUUGCCGGCUUCAUGCGGUUUCCCUCUUGGACCAAAUGGUUCAAGAACCCCCGUCGCAUCGACACUGUGGGGCUUAA